rnacentral:rRNA from 1 species
AUUGAACGCUGGCGGCAUGCCUUACACAUGCAAGUCGAACGGCAGCACGGACUUCGGUCUGGUGGCGAGUGGCGAACGGGUGAGUAAUGUAUCGGAACGUACCUUUCAGUGGGGGAUAACGUAGCGAAAGUUACGCUAAUACCGCAUAUUCUGUGAGCAGGAAAGCAGGGGAUCGCAAGACCUUGCGCUGAUUGAGCGGCCGAUAUCAGAUUAGCUAGUUGGUGGGGUAAAGGCCUACCAAGGCGACGAUCUGUAGCGGGUCUGAGAGGAUGAUCCGCCACACUGGAACUGAGACACGGUCCAGACUCCUACGGGAGGCAGCAGUGGGGAAUUUUGGACAAUGGGGGCAACCCUGAUCCAGCCAUGCCGCGUGAGCGAAGAAGGCCUUUGGGUCGUAAAGCUCUGUCGGGUAGGAAGAUAAUGACGGUACUACCCGAGGAAGCCCCGGCUAACUACGUG